UACGUAGGGGGCUAGCGUUGUCCGAAAUCAUUGGGCGUAAAGCGCGUGUAGGCGGUUCGGUAAGUCCGCUGUGAAAGUCGGGGGCUCAACCCUCGAAUGCCGGUGGAUACUGUCGGACUAGAGUACGGAAGAGGCGAGUGGAAUUCCUGGUGUAGCGGUGAAAUGCGUAGAUAUCAAGCGGAACACCGGUGGCGAAGGCGGACC
rnacentral:rRNA from 1 species